rnacentral:misc_RNA from 1 species
GAAAUGCGAUACGUAGUGUGAAUUGCAGAAUUCAGUGAAUCAUCGAAUCUUUGAACGCACAUUGCGCCCUUUGGUAUUCCAAAGGGCAUGCCUGUUCGAGCGUCAUUUGUACCCUCAAGCUUUGCUUGGUGUUGGGCGUCUUUUUGUCUCUCACGAGACUCGCCUUAAAACGAUUGGCAGCCGACCUACUGGUUUCGGAGCGCAGCACAAUUCUUGCACUCUGAAUCAGCCUUGGUUGAGCAUCCAUCAAGACCACAUUUUUUAACUUUUGACCUCGGAUCAGGUAGGGAUACCCGCUGAACUUAAGC